CUAUUUGAUUUUCUCAAAAUUUUGUAUAAGAACUUUCAAAAAUUUCUUUAUAGAACAUGAUGUCCUAUGUUAGAAACUAAUAUGCUGAACAAGUUUGGCAUGAUUUGACAAUGCUUUGGCUUUUAAACUCAUGUUCAAAUUUGGCUAAAAACUCAUUUUGAGCCUUGGAAAGAGUAGCCAAAAAUAGAGUUUUACCAAAGUUCAACCUUUGAUAUCUCUCAAACAGU
rnacentral:lncRNA from 1 species